rnacentral:rRNA from 1 species
UACGUCGGUGGCAAGCGUUGUCCGGAUUUAUUGGGUUUACAGGGUGCGUAGGCGGCUUUUUAAGUCAGUGGUGACAGCCGAUCGCUUAACGAUCGAACUGCCAUUGAUACUGAGAGGCUUGAGUAUAGUUGAGGUAGGCGGAAUUGACAGUGGAGCGGUGAAAUGCAUAGAUAGUGUCAAGAACACCAAUUGCGAAGGCAGCUUACUAAAGUAUAACUGACGCUGAGGCACGAAAGUGCGGGGAUCAAACAGG